rnacentral:rRNA from 1 species
GUGGAUUAGAUACCCUGGUAGUCCACGCCCUAAACGAUGAUGACUCGAUGUUAGCGAUAUACUGUUAGCGUCCAAGCGAAAGCGUUAAGUCAUCCACCUGGGGAGUACGCCCGCAAGGGUGAAACUCAAAGGAAUUGACGGGGGCCCGCACAAGCGGAGGAGCAUGUGGUUUAAUUCGAUGAUACGCGAGGAACCUUACCCGGGCUUGAAAGUUACUGAAGCAUCCAGAGACGGAUGCGUCCUUCGGGACAGGAAACUAGGUGCUGCACGGUCGUCGACAACU